rnacentral:rRNA from 1 species
UACAGAGGUCCCAAGCGUUGUUCGGAUUUACUGGGCGUAAAGGGUGCGUAGGUGGCGAGGUAAGUUUGAUGUGAAAGCUCCGAGCUCAACUCGGAAAUGGCAUUGAAUACUAUCCCGCUUGAGGGUCGGAGGGGAGACUGGAAUUCUCGGUGUAGCAGUGAAAUGCGUAGAUAUCGAGAGGAACACCAGUGGCGAAGGCGAGUCUCUGGACGACUCCUGACACUGAGGCACGAAAGCUGGGGGAGCAAACAGG